rnacentral:rRNA from 1 species
UACAGAGGGUGCGAGCGUUAAUCGGAAUCACUGGGCGUAAAGCGCACGUAGGCGGAUUGUUAAGUCGGGGGUGAAAUCCUGAGGCUCAACCUCAGAACUGCCUCCGAUACUGGCAAUCUCGAGUUCGGAAGAGGUUGGUGGAACAGCUAGUGUAGAGGUGAAAUUCGUAGAUAUUAGCUAGAACACCAGUGGCGAAGGCGGCCAACUGGUCCGACACUGACGCUGAGGUGCGAAAGCGUGGGGAGCAAACAGG